rnacentral:rRNA from 1 species
GAUGAACGCUGGCGGCGUGCCUAAUACAUGCAAGUCGAGCGAACAGACGAGGAGCUUGCUCCUCUGAUGUUAGCGGCGGACGGGUGAGUAACACGUGUAUAACCUACCUAUAAGACUGGGAUAACUUCGGGAAACCGGAUCUAAUACCGGAUAACAUGUUGAACCGCAUGGUUCAACAGUGAAAUACGGUCUUGCUGUCACUUAUAGAUGGAUCCGCGCCGCAUUAGCUAGUUGUUAAGGUAACGGCUUACCAAGGCAACGAUGCGUAGCCGAACUGAGAGGCGGAUCGGCCACACUGGAACUGAGACACGGUCCAGACUCCUAAGGGAGGCAGCAGUAGGGAAUGUUCCGCAAUGGGCGAAAGCAUGACGGAGCAACGCCGCGUGAGUGAAGAAGGUCUUCGGAUCGUAAAACCCUGUUAUUAGGGAAGAACAGAUGUGUAAGUAAACAUGGCGGUAUUGACGGUACCUAAUCAGAAAGCAACGGCUAACUACGUG